UGAGGAAUAUUGGUCAAUGGGCGGAAGCCUGAACCAGCCAAGUAGCGUGAGGGAAGACUGCCCUACGGGUUGUAAACCUCUUUUGUUUGGGAAUAAAGUGCGGGACGCGUCCCGCAUUGCAUGUACCAUUUGAAUAAGGACCGGCUAAUUCCGUGCCAGCAGCCGCGGUAAUACGGAAGGUCCGGGCGUUAUCCGGAUUUAUUGGGUUUAAAGGGAGCGCAGGCCGUGGGUUAAGCGUGUCGUGAAAUUCCGUCGCUCAACGGCGGACGUGCGGCGCGAACUGGUCCACUUGAGUACGCGGGACGUUGGCGGAAUUCGUGGUGUAGCGGUGAAAUGCUUAGAUAUCACGAAGAACUCCGAUUGCGAAGGCAGCUGACGGUAGCGCAACUGACGCUGAGGCUCGAAAGUGCGGGUAUCGAACAGG
rnacentral:rRNA from 1 species